UUAUGUAUUUUUCAAGUUACAAUGUGCCCAUUUUAAAGCUUGCAGUGUAAAGACUAAAAGCAACUCUUUGAGAAAUCAAAUUUAUUUAACCCGCAGCAAAAAUGAGCCCCACCUCACUCAUCCUCCUGCUCUCCUGGUAAAAGUUGGCCGAGAGGAGAGGUCAGCCAUUCAUCUGGCAGACCAAUGAGAGAAGCAAAUUGCACAGGGAGUUAAGAGGGAAGAAGUAGUGGAGGUGCUCUACUCUCAAGACACACAUGCCAUAGCCACACUCCCAGAAUUCCAAUCCACCCUUUGUGCCCCACUUUCCUAAUAAACCUGAUUUUCUGUUCCAAAUGCGAGUGGAUCAGCAAAGUGAAAUCGGCAAGACCUCUGACAGGCACUUCAAGGAAAACCACCCCAGGAGUAUGUAUGAAAGUUCACAGGGAAUUGGGUAAAAAUUGAGGUUUGAGGUUUUUGGAUUCUGUUAUUCAACACACCACCACCAGAAAAUCCCCAUAAACCAGAAGGUGGAAGACAUAACCAGGAGGAGAGCCAUUUUAGACUUGAUUCUGUGACUAUGUCUACACUACUGUGCAGGUUGGGAGUCAUUCAGUUCCUUGUUCAAAGCCUCCUUAGAAAAUUACAGUCCAGAGAUGAGAAGCAGAAAUGAAGACCAAGCAGUGAUGUGACAGCUUCCACUUAUAUACCUUCAGCCCAGGUGUAUGGAAAGUUAUUGGCCCAAGAUGGAGUCCAGGGUCACAUGAAUAUGGAAAGUUACUGGUAAAAGAUGGAGUUUUAGAUCACAUGUUCUCAUUGCAUGUCCUUAGCUCAAUGCUAUCUGAGGCAUGCAAGAAGACUCAUUGAGAAGCUGAUUUCCCUUAAUGGCCCAUCAUCACAUGGAUGACCCAUCAACCAGUGAUGGCUAGUCCAAAUGUAAAUUUGUCUGAGGGAUGUCUGCCAGGAACACAACACAUGUUUGAGAUACUAAUACAUAGCAAAUAUUCAUAACUUCAGAGACAAAGAUACUACAUACAUACAAACAAGAUUAUUGUACUUAGAUCACAACUUUUCCACUGAUAUCUUACAUGACAUACUUUAUAUAGGGUUUAGUGCAGUUGUGCAACAAUGAUAUAAUGUUCAUAUAAAGUAUCACAGUUUCCAAGAGAGGUUGUGGAAUCCCCAUCACUGGAGGUUUUUAAGCACAGGUUAGACAGACACCUGUGAGGUGUGGUCUAGGUAUACUUGAUUCUGCCUCAGCUUAGCGGACCAGACUAGAUAUCCUCUCAAGGGCCCUUCCAGCCCUACAUUUCUAUGUUUCUAAAAGAUUCUAUUCCCAGCUAUAAUUCUAUGAUGUGUUAAUUAAGCCUCCAGCACUGUAUCUGAUUCUGCACCUUGGGAGCAUGGUUCUCAAAGACCUAUCAAUUUCCUUUUGUUUAUUAAAAAGGGAUCAUCCAUCACUCCUUGUUGUUUUUGUCCUUCAUUCCUUGUUUGCUGAACUAACAUCAUUAUCAUGCCCAUCCCAUUUUUCAUAAGGAAAAAUAGACUAGAUUUUGAAAACACUCCGUCCUUUUGGCUCAAUUUCCAAC